GGGGGCGUACCGGUUUCGACUGGUUCUGAAUCCGCUGCGAGCUGCGUGUCGGGGAUCCCGAGUCACCCCGCUAAUCAUCCCGGGAAAGGCAUCUUUACGUGCCGACAACUACGCAAUCGCUGCCUAAUCAAUAGACAGCCGUCUCCAGGGGGUACGCCCGCGGCCCUUUGGAGACGCAAUCAGCGGGCUGGUCGCCGAACUGCGCCUCGGGGUGGAGCGACGAGACUUACCGAGGCUGGGCUGGGCGUAGCAAGUUCGCGAGCGCCGACCGGCCGAGAAACAAAGCGCGAACUACACACGUAGACGCUCCGGUCGGGACGGUUCCAGGACGCGGGUUCAAUUCCCGCCGCCUCCACCA
rnacentral:tmRNA from 2 species